UACGUAGGUGGCAAGCGUUGUCCGGAUUUACUGGGCGUAAAGGGCGUGCAGGCGGCUUGUUUAGUCUGGGGUGAAAGCUCCCGGCUUAACUGGGAGAGGUCCUUGGAUACUGGCAAACUUGAGGGAGGCAGAGGAAAGUGGAAUUCCCGGUGUAGUGGUGAUAUGCGUAGAUAUCGGGAGGAACACCAGUGGCGAAGGCGGCUUUCUGGGCCUUACCUGACGCUGAGACGCGAAAGCGUGGGGAGCGAACAGG
rnacentral:rRNA from 1 species